AACCAGAAAUCCAGAGUCUCUAUUCAGUCCAUGAUUUUUGUGUCUAGCAGUUAUGAAUUUAACCUUCCAGAUUCAUCUUUUGAAAGUGUGGGGUUGUUUUCUUUGAGGAC